GGGGCAUUACUGGUUUCGACAGGGUAAGGAAAGCUACCAAGUGAUGCAGGCCGAGAGUGAGUCACCUCUCGUAAAUCCAGGCUCAAACAAAAUGUAACUGCGAACAAUAUCGUUCCUUUUGCUCGUAAAUCAGCCGCUGUUGCUGCCUAAACACCUCUUGUAGGUUCGAGCGUCUAUCGUUUGACUCCGUUAAGGACAAUAGACCAACCCCCAACGGAUGCUCUAACUUCGUUCCUCUGGUUGAGAGUUAGCUAAGAUUUAACCAGUGCAUCCCACCCUUCGGGAUAAUGAAGGGUUCCCGCCUUGAGGAUCAGAAAGGCUAAGUCUGUGAAUGAGCAAGGAGUAAAUACUUGUUCUGGACAUGGGUUCGAUUCCCAUAUGCUCCAUUC
rfam:Planktothrix tepida PCC 9214 isolate BBR_PRJEB10993 genome assembly, scaffold: BBR_B_PL9214_scaffold40